CAGCAGCCGCGGUAAUACGAGGGGGGCAAGCGUUGUUCGGAAUUAUUGGGCGUAAAGGGUGCGUAGGCGGCUUGACAAGUCUUGUGUGAAAUCUAUGGGCUCAACCCAUAGUCUGCACGGGAAACUGUCGGGCUUGAGAAUGGGAGAGGUGAGUGGAAUUUCCGGUGUAGCGGUGAAAUGCGUAGAUAUCGGAAGGAACACCUGCGGCGAAAGCGGCUCACUGGACCAUUUCUGACGCUGAUGCACGAAAGCUAGGGGAGCAAAUAGGAUUAGAUACCCCAGUAGUCCCUGUCUCUUAUAC
rnacentral:rRNA from 1 species